rnacentral:misc_RNA from 1 species
GAUGAAGAACGCAGCGAAAUGCGAUAAGUAAUGUGAAUUGCAGAAUUCAGUGAAUCAUCGAAUCUUUGAACGCACAUUGCGCCCGUCAGUAUUCUGGCGGGCAUGCCUGUUCGAGCGUCAUUACGCCCCUCAAGUCCCCUUGGCUUGGUGUUGGACGGUUUUGGUGGGGACGUGCAGCCUCUCACCCCUCCUAAAGACAAUGACGGCGGCGUCGUUGGGACCCCCGGUACACUGAGCUUCUUAACUGAGCACGUACUGGACGCGGGUACGCGACGCACGGUCUGCCUCCCCUUUAAGGGAGAACUUUUUCUUAAGGUUGACCUCGGAUCAGGUAGGAAUACCCGCUGAACUUAAGCAUAUCAAAAGCGGAGGA